AUCUUUCCGAUGCCGCUAUUGGCGCCUGCGGGCGGCGGGUGGGAGCCAGCUCAGCCGGUCGGGCCGCGGCCACCCGCCCGGCCUCCCCGCCGCCCGCUCGCGCGCACUCACCAGUGACCACGACCGUGCGGCCCCGAAGGCUGCCGAUGCCGCCGCACGACGGGGCCUUCACCAGGUUGUAGUAGACAAGCACGUAGGCGCCCAGCAGCAGCCCGGCGCCCAGCAGCAGCAUCUCCAUGCCGGCAGUGCUCCCGAUUCCCGCCCGGGCCUCGUCGCUCCCGCCUCGGCCUCGCGAGGGCGGCGGCAGGCUGGGCAGGGGUGUGCGCGCACGCGUGGCCCCUGCGAGCGCCCCCUAGGCGUGCGCCUGCGUGCCCUGGCGGCGUGCCUAGGAGAAACACCUUGGAGUCCUGGGAGCGCCCUCUAGGCUUGCGAACUCCCGGGAACGCGUGCUCGGUAAGUACCCGGAAACAUCUGCCUGAGGGACGGGUGGGUGUGUGCAUGCCUAGGGCCCUGAGAUCUCCGCUCAGGCUUUGGGCGUGCUUCUGGAUUCUGGGCGGGCGCCGGCGGUGAGAGCACUGCGUAGGUGUCUGUGCCCAUCGCGGGAGUCCUCCAGGCUGUGCAUGCAUCUGUAGUCUCCACCAACGCGUGUGACUGAAUGAACAUCUCUGUUUACUCUAGGUGUGAGUAUGUAGCAGUCUCUCAGUCUGGAGUCCUGUGUACAUGAAUGGGCUCGUGUGUCUGGAGUCGAGUCCUGGAUGCCUUUUCCUCAAUGAAGCGACUCUUUUCUCAUUCUUUCAUUAUCCAGCCCUCCGCUGCUCUUCUAGGACAUUUCCCGUUACAGGCCAGAGGCAUGAGGCUUCUUAUGCUGGCACUGACAGGGUUGUCAGGAUUCAACCAUGUGAUUUCCUAACUUUGUGACCCCACCCCUUUCCCUGUCGAUUUUGGAGGUGGUUUCCCUAGGCCCAUGGUGGCCUUAAAUUUGAGAUCCUCCUUCCUCAAACUCCGAAACAGUGGGUAUUACAUGGUUGUUACUCCAUGACCUCUGCUUUCGAAAAGGCGGUAAUUUGUUUCUAGAACGGUUCACAGGUAGCAAGACUAGGUAGGUAGACACUCCAUUACUCUGGAAACAGUGACUGAGGGUAAGCUGGGCAGGGACAGCUAGGGAUGUGGGCAUUCCAAGCAGGACCUUGCCUAGGACAGUGAAGGACAGGUAGUUCCUUUCUGCCUUUGGAGGUUUAAGAAGUCCUUCCUGAAGUGGAAGCAGAGUGGCAGGGACAAGAAUACAACUAUAUGUGGGAGUCAGGGUCAGAUUUCUGAGACCAGGGAAUUCCCUAUUUAAUACUGCACUGUGUUCUUGGAGCACAACUAUAGACGCUGUGGAUGUAAAGCUCGUCUUCUAGCCCUAUCAACAGACUUGAAUAUAUGAAUAGGUACUAGUUAGAAUAGUGCCAGAACACAGAUUUUUCUAGGGGACUGUUCUCAGGAAGAACUUCCUGAAUAAGCCAUCUCCAGGAAGCUAGCAGGAUGCCCAGGAAAUUAGAAUUAGGGUAACACAGCAGGGUAUUUCCUGAUGAGAACAGCAGAAGUUAUUCAAGUUACACCAAGAGCCGCACAGGCUAGAGCAGCAGUCUUUAACCUGGGUCACCUCCUUACCAAGAGUCGAAGGACCCCUUCACAGGAGUUGCAUCUCAGAUAUCCUGUGUCAGACAUUUAUAAUUUGCAACAGUAGCAAAAUUAAAGUUAUGAUGUAGCACUGAAAUACUUUUAGGGUAGGUGGUCACCACACGACAGACUGUAUAAAAGGGUCACAGCAUCAGGACUGUUGAGAACCAUUGGUCUAGAGAGAUGUUACUGUAUUAGGGCUCCCUAGGGAAACAGCAGCCCUCCAAAGGCAAGCACUCCUUUCCAGUUCCCUCUCAGAGCUUAGGCUCCCUUCACUAACAUCUGCCUUCUCCACCAAGCUUCCCUGGAGACUACCUGAGACUGACACUUGUACAAAGGGUGUGAAAAGUGAGAUCCAGGACACUUCCCCUUCUAAGCAUGACAGGGAGGACAGACAGGCAGAAAACAUAAUUUGAAGUAUUUUUGGUUUUUAUAUACAGAAUACAGGAAAGUUUCUGUCAAGUCUAAAACAUUACAAUUACUAUGUACAUUGGUUGUGGGGAAGAGGAAGUAUCUGGGGUGAGGAGGAAGAGAAGUGGUAAGAACAAAAAAGGACACAGAACAGGUUUACGACAAAAACGCCUUUGCUACAAUAGACAAUUUGAGAAACACUCUACCACAUGUACUGUACACAGCUUUUAAAAACAUUGAAAAAAUGCCAUCACUAGAUGUAUUUACACAAAAUCCAAAUACACUUUUCCUUAUUUGAAAUAAAAUAGAUGGACAGCCAGAAAAAAGGAUUCAUUUCUCAUUUGUCCAUAUACACAGUAGCUACCUGUAGUGCAACUGCUGCAGAGAGGGGAAGUCCUUGUAGGGUGGGAACCAUGGAAAGGAGUGGGUAGCGAUCUUUAUAUUAAAUAAAACAAUGAUAUUGU
rnacentral:lncRNA from 1 species